CGCGUAGGCGGUUCGAUCAGUCUGCUGUGAAAGCCCCGGGCUCAACCUGGGAAUAGCAGUGGAUACUGUCGGACUAGAGUGCAAGAGAGGAUGGCGGAAUUCCCGGUGUAGCGGUGAAAUGCGUAGAGAUCGGGAGGAACACCGAUGGCGAAGGCAGCCAUCUGGAUUGACACUGACGCUGAGGGGCGAAAGCGUGGGGAGCAACA
rnacentral:rRNA from 1 species